GCCCCGGUAAACGGCGGCCGUAACUAUAACGGUCCUAAGGUAGCGAAAUUCCUUGUCGGGUAAGUUCCGACCUGCACGAAUGGCGUAAUGAUGGCCAGGCUGUCUCCACCCGAGACUCAGUGAAAUUGAACUCGCUGUGAAGAUGCAGUGUACCCGCGGCAAGACGGAAAGACCCCGUGAACCUUUACUAUAGCUUGACACUGAACAUUGAGCCUUGAUGUGUAGGAUAGGUGGGAGGCUUUGAAGUGUGGACGCCAGUCUGCAUGGAGCCGACCUUGAAAUACCACCCUUUAAUGUUUGAUGUUCUAACGUGGGCCCGUAAUCCGGGUUGCGGACAGUGUCUGGUGGGUAGUUUGACUGGGGCGGUCUCCUCCUAAAGAGUAACGGAGGAGCACGAAGGUUGGCUAAUCCUGGUCGGACAUCAGGAGGUUAGUGCAAUGGCAUAAGCCAGCUUGACUGCGAGCGUGACGGCGCGAGCAGGUGCGAAAGCAGGUCAUAGUGAUCCGGUGGUUCUGAAUGGAAGGGCCAUCGCUCAACGGAUAAAAGGUACUCCGGGGAUAACAGGCUGAUACCGCCCAAGAGUUCAUAUCGACGGCGGUGUUUGGCACCUCGAUGUCGGCUCAUCACAUCCUGGGGCUGAAGUAGGUCCCAAGGGUAUGGCUGUUCGCCAUUUAAAGUGGUACGCGAGCUGGGUUUAGAACGUCGUGAGACAGUUCGGUCCCUAUCUGCCGUGGGCGCUGGAGAACUGAGGGGGGCUGCUCCUAGUACGAGAGGACCGGAGUGGACGCAUCACUGGUGUUCGGGUUGUCAUGCCAAUGGCACUGCCCGGUAGCUAAAUGCGGAAGAGAUAAGUGCUGAAAGCAUCUAAGCACGAAACUUGC
rnacentral:rRNA from 1 species